AACAUUAUAAGUUAAUAAAACUAUUAGUUUGAUAUACUAGAAAUAGGGUUUCCCUUAUUGUUA
rnacentral:tRNA from 1 species